rnacentral:rRNA from 1 species
ACUCCUACGGGAGGCAGCAGUGGGGAAUAUUGGACAAUGGGCGGAAGCCUGAUCCAGCAACGCCGCGUGAGGGAUGACGGCCUUCGGGUUGUAAACCUCUUUCAGUAGGGACGAAGCGCAAGUGACGGUACCUACAGAAGAAGCACCGGCCAACUACGUGCCAGCAGCCGCGGUAAUACGUAGGGUGCGAGCGUUGUCCGGAAUUAUUGGGCGUAAAGGGCUCGUAGGCGGUUUGUCGCGUCGGGAGUGAAAACACCGGGCUUAACUCGGUGCUUGCUUUC